GCCCUCGUCGUUCAAUGGAUAGGACACCAGGCUUCGAACCUGGUAAUGUGGGUUCGAUUCCUGCCGAGGGCACUA
rnacentral:tRNA from 1 species